rnacentral:ncRNA from 1 species
GCGUAUUUCGCGCAGGUGGAGCUCGACCGCCGCAUCAAGUCGUGAAUGCCUUCAUCGAUAUCCAUCGGGAGCGGUUGGGGAUCGAGCCGAUCUGCCGUGUGCUGCAGGUUGCCCC